AUUUGAGCACUGCUGCCGAUAAGAAAGCCAAGCGCAUAAGGCGGGCUACGCUGCAUGACAAAUUUUGUACUCAUCUAAAUGAUCCCCUGCAUGUUCCUACGAGAGGAUAUAAACUGUUACAUUUCAUUAGAAAUGUUUCAGCUCCAUCACAUCCCCCGACGAAGACAAAGGCGCGACAUCGGAAGAGAAC